AAGAAAAUAAUAGCAGGUUUCAAUCAAUACAGAGGUUUAUAUAAAAGAUCAAGAAGUGGGUACUUGAUUUCGGAUCAAGAAAUUGGAAUCCAAGAUCAAGAUUGAGGAAAAACACAUGGAAGAUGAUGAUGGCUUAAGUUCAAAGGUAGAGCUUUAAGAAAAAAAAAAAUCAAGAAGAAGGAAAAAGAGCACAGAAAGACGCCAAAGUUUUGCCGAGAAGGAGAAAGGAAAAGGGAAGGGG
rnacentral:misc_RNA from 1 species